CUUUUUUAAUUGUCUGUUGUUUUUUUCAUAUUGCUUUUCACAGCUAACAUGAAUUUAUUAUUUUAUUGAACAAAAAAUAAGACAGGAUUUAAAUUUCAAAAUAAAAAAACCAUGCGUGUGCUAUAAGUUCAGUAUAACAAAAACGAUUGUCAGACCCAAAAGUAAAGGCAUGAUAUACGAAUAAUGUGAGAAAGAAAAAGCUAGUACGGACAGAAACUACACGAAUCUCAAUCAAUUCAGUAAUAAUGCAGGGACGUGCAUGCUGGGGUCUUGAAAAGGACGACGAAUGAGCAACGUCUGAUGAGUGAUGGGGCCCAGGUCCAGUGACGAAUGGAUCAAGAUUGGGGUGGGGGGUAUUACUGAUCAAACUUGAAACAUUUCAGUCGCUAAUUAAUCUUUUUCCCCAAAUUGUUGGCGAGCGGGGGGCGGGGAGUAAAAAAAACAGUCUGAACAUACCAUUUUCAGUGACUUUCGAAUUAAUGCACCGUUAAAUUUUUCUGUAAUAUUUUCGUAAAUUUAGACUUUUAAAAUAUAAAUUUCAAAAUUAAAAUCUAUAUUUUUAUCUUUUCCAAUGUUUUAAUUUUAGGGGCCCAUGAUGGCAGGGGCCCACAUCAAGUUUUCGUCGGCUCGUCCCUAGCCAGCACGACCCUGAUUUAAUGCAUCUAUUUACAGAGACAGAUGAGACAUGAAACCUCUUGAACUAAUCGGGAACGUUGUCUGACAUUAUACUGUAAAUAUCAAAAUUAAUAAAAUAUAAAGCUAUUUAGGCUACAUUUCUAUACAUAUAAUCAAUAUAUAAAUUACACAUCUGCAGGUAUAACAAAUUAGAAUUUUAAUAGUCUCAUACAAUAACAUCUCAAGAGUUAUUUUAUCUAAAAACAAUUCAUGGGAUUUACGCUCAAUGCUUGAAAUGAGCUGGAAAAUCUUAUUUAUGGUGGCAACAUGUAAAAAUACGCUCCAGUGUACUGAAGUCCACUCCUGGUGAUUGUUAGUUUAUGGUUUGGUACAUUAAGUCCAUAUUGGCAGUGCUUCUGGUAUGUUGCCGGGAAACUGUUGACAAUGAAUGGUUUGAACGUAUAGCUAUUAGUCUAUUACUUAAUUAAAUAGUCUGGAGUCAAGUUAUUUAAAGAUUUAUAUUAAACUAGGCCAACUACCCUAUACAUAACUCUGUAAUUUAUCGAUAAAAUGUUUGACUGUUCGAAAAGUGGUUUAGAUGGAGAAAGUUUUGUAGUUUAUAUAUAUUCUUGAUGUGUGUGGUGAUGUCCCCAAGCAGUACAACAAUGAUCAAUCCUUGGUUGAAAGGACGUGUUAUAAAAUAGAAUCCUUGUUUUAAGUGGCAGAUACAUUUUGAUUCGGCG